rnacentral:miRNA from 2 species
CAAAGAGGAAGGUCCCAUUAC